UGUGUAGCAGUGAAAUGCGUAGAUAUGUGGAGGAAUACCGAUGGCGAAGGCAGCCCCCUGGGAUAAUACUGACGCUCAGACAAGAAAGCGUGGGGAGCAAACAUGAUUAGAUAACCUGGUAGUCCACGCCCUAAACGAUGUCAACUAGCUGUUGGGGCCGUUAGGCCUUAGUAGCGCAGCUAACGCGUGAAGUUGACCGCCUGGGGAGUACGGUCGCAAGAUUAAAACUCAAAGGAAUUGACGGGGACCCGCACAAGCGGUGGAUGAUGUGGAUUAAUUUGAUGCAACGCGAAAAACCUUACCUACCCUUGACAUGUCUGGAAAGCCGAAGAGAUUUGGCCGUGCUCGCAAGAGAACCGGAACACAGGUGCUGCAUGGCUGUCGUCAGCUCGUGUCGUGAGAUGUUGGGUUAAGUCCCGCAACGAGCGCAACCCUUGUCAUUAGUUGCUACGCAAGAGCACUCUAAUGAGACUGCCGGUGACAAACCGGAGGAAGGUGGGGAUGACGUCAAGUCCUCAUGGCCCUUAUGGGUAGGGCUUCACACGUCAUACAAUGGUCGGGACAGAGGGUCGCCAACCCGCGAGGGGGAGCCAAUCUCAGAAACCCGAUCGUAGUCCGGAUCGCAGUCUGCAACUUGACUGCGUGAAGUCGGAAUCGCUAGUAAUCGCGGAUCAGAAUGUCGCGGUGAAUACGUUCCCGGGUCUUGUACACACCGCCCGUCACACCAUGGGAGUGGGUUUCACCAGAAGUAGGUAGCCUAACCGUAAGGAGGGCGCUACCACGGUGC
rnacentral:rRNA from 1 species